rnacentral:lncRNA from 1 species
AUGUUAUACUCUGGUUUCUCUUCAAAUCGUAUAAAUCUUUCGCCUUUUACUAAAGAUUUCCGUGGAGAGAAACGAGUGUGAGUCUGAAACCAAUUUUUUGAGGCCUUGCGUUUCUUAGCAGGGCUUAUUUUAAGUGUUUUAAAAACAGAUGCGAUUCCGUUAAAUCGCGUGUGGAGCUAUGUAAAGUGUAUUAUAGAACAAAUGCGAGUUACGGUUUUUCAGCUUUUCGCUUUGUUAAGAACUUCAAAGAGGAACCAGGAGUACGGGAAGAGCAUGAAAGUGGACAAGGAGCGUGACCAUGGAAGCACAGCACCACAGGGAGGGGUUUAGGCCUCCGGAUGACUGCGGGCAGGCCUGGAUAAUAUCCAGCCUCCCACAAGAAGCUGGUGGAGCAGAGUGUUCCCUGACUCCUCCAAGGAAACGGAGACUCCCUUUCACGGUUUGCUAAGUAACGGGUGCCUUCCCAGGCACUGGCAUUACCACUUGACCAAGGAGCCCUCAAGCGGCCCUGAUGCAGGUGUGACAGAGGGCUCACCUCUUGCCUUCUUGGUCACUUCUCACAAUGUCCCUUCAGCCCCUGUCCCUAUACCCGCCGGUUAUUCCUUGGUUAUACAACAAAGAGUAAUAUUAAAAGUUAAUGAUUAAUAAUGUUUA